rnacentral:rRNA from 1 species
UACAGGCUUAACACAUGCAAGUCGAGGGGCAGCAUGGUCUUAGCUUGCUAAGGCCGAUGGCGACCGGCGCACGGGUGAGUAACACGUAUCCAACCUGCCGUCUACUCUUGGACAGCCUUCUGAAAGGAAGAUUAAUACAAGAUGGCAUCAUGAGUCCGCAUGUUCACAUGAUUAAAGGUAUUCCGGUAGACGAUGGGGAUGCGUUCCAUUAGAUAGUAGGCGGGGUAACGGCCCACCUAGUCUUCGAUGGAUAGGGGUUCUGAGAGGAAGGUCCCCCACAUUGGAACUGAGACACGGUCCAAACUCCUACGGGAGGCAGCAGUGAGGAAUAUUGGUCAAUGGGCGAGAGCCUGAACCAGCCAAGUAGCGUGAAGGAUGACUGCCCUAUGGGUUGUAAACUUCUUUUAUAAAGGAAUAAAGUCGGGUAUGGAUACCCGUUUGCAUGUACUUUAUGAAUAAGGAUCGGCUAACUCCGUGCCAGCAGCCGCGGUAAUACGGAGGAUCCGAGCGUUAUCCGGAUUUAUUGGGUUUAAAGGGAGCGUAGAUGGAUGUUUAAGUCAGUUGUGAAAGUUUGCGGCUCAACCGUAAAAUUGCAGUUGAUACUGGAUAUCUUGAGUGCAGUUGAGGCAGGCGGAAUUCGUGGUGUAGCGGUGAAAUGCUUAGAUAUCACGAAGAACUCCGAUUGCGAAGGCAGCCUGCUAAGCUGCAACUGACAUUGAGGCUCGAAAGUGUGGGUAUCAAACAGGAUUAGAUACCCUGGUAGUCCACACGGUAAACGAUGAAUACUCGCUGUUUGCGAUAUACUGCAAGCGGCCAAGCGAAAGCGUUAAGUAUUCCACCUGGGGAGUACGCCGGCAACGGUGAAACUCAAAGGAAUUGACGGGGGCCCGCACAAGCGGAGGAACAUGUGGUUUAAUUCGAUGAUACGCGAGGAACCUUACCCGGGCUUAAAUUGCAGAUGAAUUACGGUGAAAGCCGUAAGCCGCAAGGCAUCUGUGAAGGUGCUGCAUGGUUGUCGUCAGCUCGUGCCGUGAGGUGUCGGCUUAAGUGCCAUAACGAGCGCAACCCUUGUUGUCAGUUACUAACAGGUUCCGCUGAGGACUCUGACAAGACUGCCAUCGUAAGAUGUGAGGAAGGUGGGGAUGACGUCAAAUCAGCACGGCCCUUACGUCCGGGGCUACACACGUGUUACAAUGGGGGGUACAGAGGGCCGCUACCACGCGAGUGGAUGCCAAUCCCCAAAACCUCUCUCAGUUCGGACUGGAGUCUGCAACCCGACUCCACGAAGCUGGAUUCGCUAGUAAUCGCGCAUCAGCCACGGCGCGGUGAAUACGUUCCCGGGCCUUGUACACACCGCCCGUCAAGCCAUGGGAGCCGGGGGUACCUGAAGUGCGUAACCACGAGGAGCGCCCUAGGGUAAAACUGGUGACUGGGGCUAAG